rnacentral:rRNA from 1 species
AGAGUUUGAUCAUGGCUCAGGACGAACGCUGGCGGCGUGCCUAAUACAUGCAAGUAGAACGCUGAAGGGAGGAGCUUGCUCUUCUUGGAUGAGUUGCGAACGGGUGAGUAACGCGUAGGUAACCUGCCUUGUAGCGGGGGAUAACUAUUGGAAACGAUAGCUAAUACCGCAUAACAAUGGAUGACACAUGUCAUUUAUUUGAAAGGGGCAAUUGUUCCACUACAAGAUGGACCUGCGUUGUAUUAGCUAGUAGGUGAGGUAAUGGCUCACCUAGGCGACGAUACAUAGCCGACCUGAGAGGGUGAUCGGCCACACUGGGACUGAGACACGGCCCAGACUCCUACGGGAGGCAGCAGUAGGGAAUCUUCGGCAAUGGGGGCAACCCUGACCGAGCAACGCCGCGUGAGUGAAGAAGGUUUUCGGAUCGUAAAGCUCUGUUGUAAGUCAAGAACGGGUGUGAGAGUGGAAAGUUCACACUGUGACGGUAGCUUACCAGAAAGGGACGGCUAACUACGUGCCAGCAGCCGCGGUAAUAUGUAGGUCCCGAGCGUUGUCCGGAUUUAUUGGGCGUAAAGCGAGCGCAGGCGGUUUGAUAAGUCUGAAGUUAAAGGCUGUGGCUCAACCAUAGUUCGCUUUGGAAACUGUCAAACUUGAGUGCAGAAGGGGAGAGUGGAAUUCCAUGUGUAGCGGUGAAAUGCGUAGAUAUAUGGAGGAACACCGGUGGCGAAAGCGGCUCUCUGGUCUGUAACUGACGCUGAGGCUCGAAAGCGUGGGGAGCGAACAGGAUUAGAUACCCUGGUAGUCCACGCCGUAAACGAUGAGUGCUAGGUGUUGGAUCCUUUCCGGGAUUCAGUGCCGCAGCUAACGCAUUAAGCACUCCGCCUGGGGAGUACGACCGCAAGGUUGAAACUCAAAGGAAUUGACGGGGGCCCGCACAAGCGGUGGAGCAUGUGGUUUAAUUCGAAGCAACGCGAAGAACCUUACCAGGUCUUGACAUCCCGAUGCUAUUUCUAGAGAUAGAAAGUUACUUCGGUACAUCGGUGACAGGUGGUGCAUGGUUGUCGUCAGCUCGUGUCGUGAGAUGUUGGGUUAAGUCCCGCAACGAGCGCAACCCCUAUUGUUAGUUGCCAUCAUUCAGUUGGGCACUCUAGCGAGACUGCCGGUAAUAAACCGGAGGAAGGUGGGGAUGACGUCAAAUCAUCAUGCCCCUUAUGACCUGGGCUACACACGUGCUACAAUGGUUGGUACAACGAGUUGCGAGUCGGUGACGGCGAGCUAAUCUCUUAAAGCCAAUCUCAGUUCGGAUUGUAGGCUGCAACUCGCCUACAUGAAGUCGGAAUCGCUAGUAAUCGCGGAUCAGCACGCCGCGGUGAAUACGUUCCCGGGCCUUGUACACACCGCCCGUCACACCACGAGAGUUUGUAACACCCGAAGUCGGUGAGGUAACCUUUUGGAGCCAGCCGCCUAAGGUGGGACAGAUGAUUGGGGUGAAGUCGUAACAAGGUA